rnacentral:lncRNA from 1 species
UAGUGACUAUAAAAGCAAAUAUAAGUCUACUGCCCGUACAUUACAUUACAAUCCUUGUUCCAACCAGCAAAUUGAGUUGUCUUAUUUAUUUCAUUAAAAAGGUAAGCUAUAUAAUGUUAAUUAAAGUAAUUUAAUAAAAUAAAUUAAUUGAAAUUAAUAGGAAAUAAUUCAAUAAAUAUAAUAAGUUUAAUUCGAGCAAUAUUUGAAAUAGAAAUAUAUUUUUUAUUGUCAAUUGAUAAUGUUAUCUGUUAUUAAUCUGUAUGAUUUAUGCAUUGUAAUAUUUUACGAUCAAAAAGAAAAGAAACAUGACAUUACAUUACAUUACAAUCCUUGUUCCAACCAGCAAAUUGAGUUGUCUUAUUUAUUUCAUUAAAAAGGGUAAGAAGGCGCGAGUCCCACCCUCGCUGCCAAGCCAGUCCACAACAACGACAUGUAGUCCCCAGAUGUCCAGACAUCAUUCUACCUACAAGAAUCGUAGAAGAACUGAGCAAACGAGAGGAGGCAAAUCAACACCAUGUUGUUCAAUUUAGAAACCACCGAAGACAACCGUAAUAACAACAUUAACAAGUGACCUCCCUGGGAAGUUAACAUUACAACAACUAAAACAACAUAAAAUCCCCGUCACAACAGUCGACGAAGAACUUCCUUUCACAACUGAUGUCCCAAAAAUACCAUCACAACAAUAAUGUUAUGAAAGGAUUUAGGACACUUUUAGAAAUAAUUAGAAAUUGAAAUAAAAUAGAUCUUAUUUAAACAAAAAUAUAGGUUUAUAGGUAAUUAAGAUAGUUCCAAGUAAAAGAUUAUAUAAAGUCAAAUGAUUCAUUGAUAUAGGAAAAUAAAGUAAGAAGAAAACACAUAAAGAAGCUAGCGAAUAACAAGCAUUAUCUUAGAUGCAUGACAAGCAAAAUAGUACAAGUCAAGAACCUCAUUAGUUAUUUGGCACUUGUUUAGAAGGUUGCUAGGUCGACGGACAUAUGUAUGUUGAAUUGAUAUUACAUCCAAGGUUAUAACCAUAUUCACAGAAUGUGUAGAUACUACAGCAUCAUGAAUAUUCAGUAAAUACAUUUAGGCACACAAGAUUGUAUUAAUAACCAAUCAAAAGUUUAGAUACGAAGAUUGACGUACACAAGAUAUUAAUUAAAAUUUAACAAAUCUUUAAUUAUCAAUUAUAAUAAAGAUCAGAAAUUGAAAUUCUUACAAAAAAUAUUAUUUUAUUUAAUUUAAGAAAUAAAAGUCCAAAUGCUUUCAAAAACAAAUAAAUACAUUUUGCAUAUUAUGAAGCAAUAAAUGUUUUGGCAACACAUUCCAUCUUUUACAAAGACGCUCAAUCUUGUCUGGGGAACAGGAAUGUCGGGUAAUGAGUAGUGACUAUAAAAGCAAAUAUAAAGUCUACUGCCCGUACAUUACAUUACAAUCCUUGUUCCAACCAGCAAAUUGAGUUGUCUUAUUUAUUUCAUUAAAAAGGUAAGCUAUAUAAUGUUAAUUAAAGUAAUUUAAUAAAAUAAAUUAAUUGAAAAUUAAUAGGAAUAUAAUUCAAUAAAUAUAAUAAGUUUAAUUCGAGCAAUAUUUGAAAUAGAAAUAUAUUUGUUAUUGUCAAUUGAUAAUGUUAUCUGUUAUUAAUCUGUAUGAUUUAUGCACUGUAAUAUUUUACGAUCAAAAAGAAAAGAAACAUUACAUUACAUUACAAUCCUUGUUCCAACAAGCAAAUUGAGUUGUCUUAUUUAUUUCAUUAAAAAGGGUAAGAAGGCGCGAGUCCCACCCUCGCUGCCAAGCCAGUCCACAACAACGACAUGUAGUCCCCAGAUGUCCAGACAUCAUUCUACCUACAAGAACCGUAGAAGAACUGAGCAAACGAAAGGAAGCAAAUCAACACCAUGUUGUUCAAUUUAGAAACCACCGAAGACAACCAUAAUACCAUCUUAACAAGUGACCUCCCAAGUUAACAUUACAACAAAAAAAACAUAAAAUCCCCGUCACAACAGUCGACGAAGAA